rnacentral:rRNA from 1 species
CAAGCUUUUAAGAGCAGAUGGCGGAUGCCUUGCCAAAGAGAGGCGAUGAAGGACGUACUAGACUGCGAUAAGCUAUGCGGAGCUGUCAAGGAGCUUUGAUGCGUAGAUGUCCGAAUGGGGCAACCCAACUAAUAGAGAUAUUAGUUACUCUAAUUAUUAAUAGAGGGCGAACCUAGUGAAGUGAAACAUCUCAGUAACUAGAGGAAAAGAAAUCAACGAGAUUCCCUAAGUAGUGGCGAGCGAACGGGGAAAAGGGCAAACCGAGUGCUUGCAUUCGGGGUUGAGGACUGCAACAUCCAAGAGAACGCUUUAGCAGAGUUACCUGGAAAGGUAAGCCAUAGAAAGUGAUAGCCUUGUAUGCGACAAGGCGUUCUCAGGUAGCAGUAUCCAGAGUAGGCCAGGACACGAGAAAUCCAGGUUGAAGCUGGGGAGACCACUCUCCAACCCUAAAUACUACUCUUUGAGCGAUAGCGAACAAGUACCGUGAGGGAAAGGUGAAAAGAACCGCAGUGAGCGGAGUGAAAUAGAACCUGAAACCAUCUGCUUACAAUCAUUCAGAGCCCUAUGAUUUAUCAGGGUGAUGGACUGCCUUUUGCAUAAUGAUCCUGCGAGUUGUGGUAUCUGGCAAGGUUAAGCGAAUGCGAAGCCGUAGCGAAAGCGAGUCUUAAUAGGGCGCUUGAGUCAGAUGCUGCAGACCCGAAGCUAAGUGAUCUAUCCAUGGCCAAGUUGAAACGCGUGUAAUAGCGCGUGGAGGACUGAACUCGUACCCAUUGAAACGGGUUGGGAUGAGCUGUGGAUAGGGGUGAAAGGCCAAACAAACUUAGUGAUAGCUGGUUCUCUUCGAAAUAUAUUUAGGUAUAGCCUCAAGUGAUAAUAAAAGGGGGUAGAGCGCUGAUUGGGCUAGGGCUGCUCGCCGCGGUACCAAACCCUAUCAAACUUCGAAUACCUUUUAUCGUAUCUUGGGAGUCAGGCGGUGGGUGAUAAAAUCAAUCGUCAAAAGGGGACAACCCAGACUACCAAAUAAGGUCCCUAAGUUCUAUUCUGAGUGGAAAAAGAUGUGUGGCUACUCAAACAACCAGGAGGUUGGCUUAGAAGCAGCCAUCCUUUAAAGAAAGCGUAACAGCUCACUGGUCUAGUGGUCAUGCGCUGAAAAUAUAACGGGGCUAAGAUAGACACCGAAUUUGUAGAUUGUGUUUGACACAGUGGUAGAAGAGCGUUCAUACCAGCGUUGAAGGUAUACCGGUAAGGAGUGCUGGAGCGGUAUGAAGUGAGCAUGCAGGAAUGAGUAACGAUAAGAUAUAUGAGAAUUGUAUCCGCCGUAAAUCUAAGGUUUCCUACGCGAUGGUCGUCAUCGUAGGGUUAGUCGGGUCCUAAGCCGAGUCCGAAAGGGGUAGGUGAUGGCAAAUUGGUUAAUAUUCCAAUACCGACUUAUGGAGCGUGAUGGGGGGACGCAUAGGGUUAAGCGAGCUAGCUGAUGGAAGCGCUAGUCUAAGGGCGUAGAUUGGAGGGAAGGCAAAUCCACCUCUGUAUUUGAAACCCAAACAGGCUCUUUGAGUCCUUUUAGGACAAAGGGAGAAUCGCUGAUACCGUCGUGCCAAGAAAAGCCUCUAAGCAUAUCCAUAGUCGUCCGUACCGCAAACCGACACAGGUAGAUGAGAUGAGUAUUCUAAGGCGCGUGAAAGAACUCUGGUUAAGGAACUCUGCAAACUAGCACCGUAAGUUCGCGAUAAGGUGUGCCACAGCGAUGUGGUCUCAGCAAAGAGUCCCUCCCGACUGUUUACCAAAAACACAGCACUUUGCCAACUCGUAAGAGGAAGUAUAAGGUGUGACGCCUGCCCGGUGCUCGAAGGUUAAGAGGAUGCGUCAGUCGCAAGAUGAAGCGUUGAAUUGAAGCCCGAGUAAACGGCGGCCGUAACUAUAACGGUCCUAAGGUAGCGAAAUUCCUUGUCGGUUAAAUACCGACCUGCAUGAAUGGCGUAACGAGAUGGGAGCUGUCUCAACCAGAGAUUCAGUGAAAUUGUAGUGGAGGUGAAAAUUCCUCCUACCCGCGGCAAGACGGAAAGACCCCGUGGACCUUUACUACAACUUAGCACUGCUAAUGGGAAUAUCAUGCGCAGGAUAGGUGGGAGGCUUUGAAGUAAGGGCUUUGGCUCUUAUGGAGCCAUCCUUGAGAUACCACCCUUGAUGUUUCUGUUAGCUAACUGGCCUGUGUUAUCCACAGGCAGGACAAUGCUUGGUGGGUAGUUUGACUGGGGCGGUCGCCUCCUAAAAAGUAACGGAGGCUUGCAAAGGUUGGCUCAUUGCGGUUGGAAAUCGCAAGUUGAGUGUAAUGGCACAAGCCAGCCUGACUGUAAGACAUACAAGUCAAGCAGAGACGAAAGUCGGUCAUAGUGAUCCGGUGGUUCUGUGUGGAAGGGCCAUCGCUCAAAGGAUAAAAGGUACCCCGGGGAUAACAGGCUGAUCUCCCCCAAGAGCUCACAUCGACGGGGAGGUUUGGCACCUCGAUGUCGGCUCAUCGCAUCCUGGGGCUGGAGCAGGUCCCAAGGGUAUGGCUGUUCGCCAUUUAAAGCGGUACGCGAGCUGGGUUCAGAACGUCGUGAGACAGUUCGGUCCCUAUCUGCCGUGGGCGUAGGAAAGUUGAGGAGAGCUGUCCCUAGUACGAGAGGACCGGGAUGGAUGUGUCACUGGUGCACCAGUUGUUCUGCCAAGAGCAUCGCUGGGUAGCUACACACGGAUGUGAUAACUGCUGAAAGCAUCUAAGCAGGAAGCCAACUCCAAGAUAAACUUUCCCUGAAGCUCGCACAAAGACUAUGUGCUUGAUAGGGUAGAUGUGUAAGCGCAGUAAUGCGUUUAGCUGACUACUACUAAUAGAGCGUUUGGCUUGUUUU